rnacentral:rRNA from 1 species
AUUGAACGCUGGCGGCAGGCCUAACACAUGCAAGUCGAACGAGUGGCGGACGGGUGAGUAAUGUCUGGGAAACUGCCCGAUGGAGGGGGAUCACUACUGGAUACGGUAGUUAAUACCGCAUACCAUCAGAUGUGCCCAGAUGGGAUUAGCUAGUCGGUGAGGUAACGUCUCACCUAGGGGACGAUCCCUAGCUGGUCUGAGAGGAUGUCCAUCCACACUGGAACUAAGAAACGGUCCAGACUCCUACGGGAGGCAGCGGUGGGGAAUAUUGCACAAUGGGCGCAAGCCUGAUGCAGCCAUGCCGGGUGUAUGAAGAAGGCCUUCGGGUUGUAAAGUACUUUCAGCGGGGAGGCGUGACCCGCAGAAGAAGCACCGGCUAACUCCGUGCCAGCAGCCGCGGUAAAAC